rnacentral:rRNA from 1 species
UACGGAGGGGGUUAGCGUUGUUCGGAAUUACUGGGCGUAAAGCGCGCGUAGGCGGACCAGAAAGUUGGGGGUGAAAUCCCGGGGCUCAACCCCGGAACGGCCUCCAAAACUCCUGGUCUUGAGUUCGAGAGAGGAGAGUGGAAUUCCGAGUGUAGAGGUGAAAUUCGUAGAUAUUCGGAGGAACACCAGUGGCGAAGGCGGCUCACNGGCUCGAUACUGACGCUGAGGUGCGAAAGUGUGGGGANCAAACCUG